UGAAAUGCUGCUCGUUCCCAGACCAAGGGAAGGAUUAGAUGUGUUUUUGUGUUUUCUCCGGUCUGUCUUGGGCAGCCUUGCUAACUGCCACUCACUUUUGACAGCUGGGGUCUGUUUCACUGUGAAAGGUCCCUUUUUGCUUAUAUCCGUGUGGGAGCUGGCCAGUUAAUUCUGGUGAAGGAUGGUGGCAUCAGCAUUGUCCAACUGUUCAAAUUUGUCAGCUGCUGCAUACCUGCAGCACUCAGGGAAUAUUUUAGUGGACUGAAGAGCUUCCAAGUUGCCUAUAAUGAGGCUAAUUAUCAAAUAAACAAUGUGUUGGUCUCCAUCACACACACUGUGGGACUGAGGGACAGAAGAACUGGGACUUUGCACAUGUACAAAGAUCUCCUUAUGUUUGGAGUAAGUUGGUGUCAGCACUGCAUGAACAUGAGACAAAAAGUUUAUUUUAGGUGAUGCCCAAUGCUUAUAAACAUCUUCUUAGUGCGUUUUUCUAAGGAAGGACAAUGAAUUUUCAUAAGAUCUCAGUUACCUUCUUAUGGGCUUGAGUGGAGGGCAGCUUUUCUCUGAGCUGCUUGCAGUCAGGGUGGGCGUUUUGGGUGCGUUGCUUUGGGUGCAAAAUGAGUGUAAAGGUAAAAUCUUGUUACAGACAUGAGUAAUGUCUGUAAUGAGUAAUGAGGUUACCACAACACUUAGAGGGGGUGAAACUGGUGAGCUUCUAAACCUGUAACGUGCUGGAUGCCAGCUCUUCACUGCCAGAUUACUGGCAUUCAGCUUUGGAGCUGCCAACAAGCUGAUGGAAGAGUUUCCUGUGGAUUCGUUGUUCUGGAAAAUAUUCUCUCCGUGUGCGUGGAAGCUGCAGUACCAUUACAGCAGAGACAGGGACGUCCCCUGUGUGGGAGCAGCGUGUCCCUCAGGCCUCCAGGGCUGAGAAAUGGCAGCAUGGGGAGUUUUAUUUUUCACAAAGCCUAAUAUGUGUUUGUCAUUUCAAACAUCAUCCUCCAUCACUCUGUUUGUUCUUCUUGUCUCGGCCUCAGGAGAUGACUCCCACCUUGGGCUUAAAGCUCUGGUGAAAGAGAGGAAUUGUUAGUUAUAAACUAAAUGCCCA
rnacentral:lncRNA from 1 species